rnacentral:rRNA from 1 species
GAGAGUAACUGCUCUCAAGGUGACGGUACCUGAGAAGAAAGCCCCGGCUAACUACGUGCCAGCAGCCGCGGUAAUACGUAGGGGGCAAGCGUUGUCCGGAAUUAUUGGGCGUAAAGCGCGCGCAGGCGGUCAUGUAAGUCUGGUGUUUAAUCCCGGGGCUCAACCCCGGAUCGCACUGGAAACUGCGUGACUUGAGUGCAGAAGAGGAGAGUGGAAUUCCACGUGUAGCGGUGAAAUGCGUAGAGAUGUGGAGGAACACCAGUGGCGAAGGCGACUCUCUGGGCUGUAACUGACGCUGAGGCGCGAAAGCGUGGGGAGCAAACAGGAUUAGAUACCCUGGUAGUCCACGCCGUAAACGAUGAGUGCUAGGUGUUAGGGGUUUCGAUACCCUUGGUGCCGAAGUUAACACA